rnacentral:misc_RNA from 1 species
GAUGAAGAACGUAGUGAAAUGCGAUAAGUAAUGUGAAUUGCAGAAUUCAGUGAAUCAUCGAAUCUUUGAACGCACAUUGCGCCCCUUGGUAUUCCGAGGGGCAUGCCUAUUCGAGCGUCAUUAUCACCCCUCAAGCCUAGCUUGGUGUUGAGAACUGCUGUCAAGGCAGUCUCUAAAAUCAGUGGCAGUGCUGUCAGGCUCUAAGCGUAGUAAAUUCAUCGCUAUAGACACCUGGUGACCACUCGCCAGAACCCCCCCAUUUUUUAAUGAUUGACCUCGGAUUAGGUAGGGAUACCCGCUGAACUUAAGCAUAUCAAUAAGCGGAGGA